AGCUCCAAUAGCGUAUAUUAAAGUUGUUGCAGUUAAAAAGCUCGUAGUUGGAUUUGUGGAUUUCGCGGUUCGGUCGCACUAAUUGUGUGUACAUGAGUCGUGAGUCCAUCCUUGGGUGGAAUCUGUGUGGCAUUAGGUUGUCGUGCAGGGGAUGCCCAUCGUUUACUGUGAAAAAAUUAGAGUGUUCAAAGCAGGCUUAUGCCGUUGAAUAUAUUAGCAUGGAAUAAUAAGAUAGGACCUUGGUACUAUUUUGUUGGUUUGCGCACCAAGGUAAUGAUUAAUAGGGACAGUUGGGGGUAUUCGUAUUCCAUUGUCAGAGGUGAAAUUCUUGGAUUUUUGGAAGACGAACUACUGCGAAAGCAUUUACCAAGGAUGUUUUCAUUA
rnacentral:rRNA from 1 species